rnacentral:rRNA from 1 species
GAGUUUGAUCCUGGCUCAGAUUGAACGCUGGCGGCAUGCCUUACACAUGCAAGUCGAACGGCAGCAUGAUCUAGCUUGCUAGAUUGAUGGCGAGUGGCGAACGGGUGAGUAAUACAUCGGAACGUGCCCUGUAGUGGGGAUAACUAGUCGAAAGAUUAGCUAAUACCGCAUACGACCUGAGGGUGAAAGUGGGGGACCGCAAGGCCUCAUGCUAUAGGAGCGGCCGAUGUCUGAUUAGCUAGUUGGUGGGUAAAGGCCCACCAAGGCGACGAUCAGUAGCUGGUCUGAGAGGACGAUCGGCCACACUGGGACUGAGACACGGCCCAGACUCCUACGGGAGGCAGCAGUGGGGAAUUUGGACAAUGGGCGAAAGCCUGAUCCAGCAAUGCCGCGUGUGUGAAGAAGGCCUCGGUGUAAG